AACGAACGCUGGCGGCAGGCCUAACACAUGCAAGUCGAACGCCCCGCAAGGGGAGUGGCCGACGGGUGAGUAACACGUGGGAACCUUCCCUAUAGUACGGAAUAGCCCAGGGAAACUUGGAGUAAUACCGUAUACGCCCGAAAGGGGAAAGAAUUUCGCUAUAGGAUGGGCCCGCGUAGGAUUAGCUAGCUGGUGAGGUAAUGGCUCACCAAGGCGACGAUCCUUAGCUGGUUUGAGAGAACGACCAGCCACACUGGGACUGAGACACGGCCCAGACUCCUACGGGAGGCAGCAGUGGGGAAUAUUGGACAAUGGGCGCAAGCCUGAUCCAGCCAUGCCGCGUGAGUGAUGAAGGCCUUAGGGUUGUAAAGCUCUUUUGGCGGGGACGAUAAUGACGGUACCCGCAGAAUAAGACCCGGCUAACUUCGUG
rnacentral:rRNA from 1 species